rnacentral:rRNA from 1 species
AAAUGAAUUGACGGGGGCCCGCACAAGCGGCGGAGCAUGUUGCUUAAUUCGACGCAACGCGAAGAACCUUACCAAGGCUUGACAUACACCGGGCGGCUGUGGAGACAUGGCUUCCCUUCGGGGCUGGUGUACAGGUGGUGCAUGGCUGUCGUCAGCUCGUGUCGUGAGAUGUUGGGUUAAGUCCCGCAACGAGCGCAACCCUUGUUCCAUGUUGCCAGCGGCGGCGUUGCCGGCCGGGGACUCAUGGGAGACUGCCGGGGUCAACUCGGAGGAAGGUGGGGAUGACGUCAAGUCAUCAUGCCCCUUAUGCCUUGGGCUGCAAACAUGCUACAAUGGCCGGUACAGAGGGCUGCGAAGUCGUGAGGCGGAGCGAAUCCCUAAAAGCCGGUCUCAGUUCGGAUUGGGGUCUGCAACUCGACCCCAUGAAGUCGGAGUCGCUAGUAAUCGCAGAUCAGCAACGCUGCGGUGAAUACGUUCCCGGGCCUUGUACACACCGCCCGU